CCAAUCCCACCAGCAGGGGGCGCGCGAGAUGAAACAGUUCUGUCCUGGGAUGUACCACCGAGGGUAGCGGAAAGACCACCCACUCUGGAAGGUACCAUUGGGAGAGGGCGUGUGACAACAAGAGGGUCCCCUUACACCGGCGUCGGGCAUGGACCGCAGUUCCCAGCAGCGGCACUCAUGGCGCCACUAGGUCCAUCCCCACUCGCUCCUCUUGGUCUUCCCCACUGCUUUUGAAUCCGAGUGGACAACAGAAAUAUCAGUGGGCAAGUGGCGUCAACAUUGGGACCUAUAGAUCAAGAUUCCCCAAGCUGGAUGAACCUGUGGUUGACCAGCAGCCCAGUGUUGAGCAACCUCAACAAGAGGAACCGCCAGCUGAGAUUCAGGAUAUCACACUUGGGAAGGAGGAAGUAAAUGGAGAGGAUCCGGUGAAUCAUAAUGAAGAGAAGGAGAAGGAUGCCUCUGGAGAUUCUCACCUGGAAACUGAUCUCCAGGAAUUGGCUGAGGCUAAGACUGGGGGUAAAGGUGGAGAUGGUCCUGAUGUCAGGGAGGAGGUUGCAUCAAAUACAGAGCCUGUUGAAAUGCCAGAAGCAGAGUAAAAACGGAACCUGUCAACAAAGACAUGAAAAGAUGCUCAACCUCGCUCAUCAUGAGAAAUGAAAAUCAGGAGCCACAAUUAGCUAUCUUGUCACAGCAGUCAGAAUGGCCAUCAUCAGAACUCUACACAAAAUAAAUGUUGGAGUGGAUGUGGAGAAAAGGGAAUC
rnacentral:lncRNA from 1 species